UGACCUCGGAUCAGACGUGAUUACCCGCUGAAUUUAAGCAUAUUAUUAAGCGGAGGAAAAGAAACUAACAAGGAUUCCCUAGUAACGGCGAGUGAACGGGGAAGAGCCCAACACCGAAUCCCUUGGCGCAAGUCAACGGGAAAUGUGGUGUUAAGGUAGCCCUUCGUGUCAGUCUAGGCGUCUCAAGUCCACCUGAUUGUGGCUCAAGCCCAGAGAGGGUGUAAGGCCCGUAGAGACGCUCCGACUGAUUCCUGGGGUUUACCUACGAGUCGGCUUGUUUGGGAAUGCAGGCCAAAGCGGGUGGUAAACUCCAUCCAAGGCUAAAUACUGGCACGAGUCCGAUAGCGGACAAGUACCGUGAGGGAAAGUUGAAAAGAACUUUGAAGAGAGAGUUCAAUAGUACGUGAAACCGCUUAGAGGCAAACGGAUGGUGCUCAUACUGGCCUGAGGAAUUCAACUGUGACGGUGGCUGGACGAGCUGGCGUUCCGAUCUCUCUUUUGGGACGGGCGUCGGUUUGGCUAUCAGCUCCGACAUGGUGCACUUUCCUUGGUGCCUCCGCCACGACCGACGACACUGGCUACCCGCGGCUGGGGUAAGGUGACAAACUGCUUCGGCAAUUUGUGUUAUAGACCCCGGCGUCGGACAUGGUUUGGCCAGGACGUCGAGCUUGCGGCGCCCGCUCCUUGUGGGCUCGCAUGUUGGCUAGCUUGGCUGCGCCGAUGCUUGCACUGGACAACCAGUACAGGUGACGGUUGUGGUCUUGUCUCUAGUUGGCCUCUGCGAGUUUGGCGCCUAUAGUCUGUGGUGUACUUGUGGUAGACUAUCCGACCCGUCUUGAAACACGGACCAAGGAGUCUAACAUGUGCGCGAGUCAUGGGGAUUCUACGAAACCCAAAGGCGCAGUGAAAGUAAAGGCCUGCUUCUCGUAGGCUGAGGUGGGAUCUCGUGCAUCGCGAUUGGCGAGCGCACCACCGGCCCGUCCUAUCUGUCUCUGUCAGUGGGGCGGCGCAAGAGCGUACACGUUGGGACCCGAAAGAUGGUGAACUAUGCUUGCGCAGCUCGAAGUCAGUGGAAACACUGAUGGAGGAGCGCAGCGUUUCUGACGUGCAAAUCGAUCGUCAAACGUGAGUAUAGGGGCGAAAGACUAAUCGAACCAUCUAGUAGCUGGUUCCCUCCGAAGUUUCCCUCAGGAUAGCUGGCACUCGGGAAACAGUUUUAUCCGGUAAAGCGAAUGAUUAGAGGCAUUGGGGUCGAAACGACCUCGACCUAUUCUCAAACUUUAAAUGGGUAAGAUGCUCGUCUCGCUUAAUUGGAGGCGGGCUUCACCUCUCUAUAAACGUGAAUG
rnacentral:ncRNA from 1 species